GGUAUUACUUAAAAGGUUAUUAAUUAUUAUCAUGUAAUUAUUUGGUUCUGAUCACAGAUCACAGAAACUAAAGGGUUCUGAUGAUAAGAAUAAUAAGAAAUAAUUAUAAUUUUUGUUUUAUUGAGUCUUCAAGUUAGGAUUGCAGGUUCGAAUGAUAAUAAUUUUUGUAUACCAUCGUAUAUAUUACAUAUAACAUAAUAUGGAGACAUUUCAUCAUGUCCACAACAAUAUCAAGGGUGUGAAGGGAUUCAGUCAAGGAGUUUUAAAUUAUUGAAGAGUGGUAAUUAUUUAGAAGUAGGGUUCGCGAAAAAAUUGAGCCCUACUUUUAUAUAAUCACCUGAAAAUUUUUCACUAGAGUAUAAAUAAUAAAAUAUGUGCUAAU